rnacentral:misc_RNA from 4 species
AACGCACAUUGCACUCUCUGGUAUUCCGGAGAGUAUGCUUGUUUGAGUAUCAGUAAACACCUCAAAUCUCUUUUUUAUUAAAGAGAAUUGGACUUGAGCAAUCCCAACUCUUUGCAAAAAGGGGCGGGUUGCUUGAAAUGCAGGUGCAGCUGGACAUUCUUCUGAGCUAAAAGCAUAUUUAUUUAGUCCCGUCAAACGGAUUAUUACUUUUGCUCUAGCUAAUAUAAAGGUCGAAUGUGCUAUAUGCUGACUGAUGCAGGAUUACCAAGUUUUACUAGCUAAAACUUGUAAACUCGAUCUCAAAUCAAGUAAGACUACCCGCUGAACUUAA